rnacentral:rRNA from 1 species
GUCUGCGAUCAUACCAGCACUAAUACACCGGAUCCCAUCAGAACUCCGAAGUUAAACGUGCUUGGGCGAGAGUAGUACUAAGAUGGGUGACCUCUUGGGAAGUCCUCGUGUUGCACCCC